rnacentral:misc_RNA from 1 species
UCGUGACCCUGACCAAAACAGACCGCGCACGCGUCAUCCAGCCCGCCGAGCGGUCCGCCGCUCGGCCAAGUCCUCGACAACCUCCUCUCCUCGGAGCGGGGGCUCGGGGUAAAAGAACCCACGGCGCCGAAGGCGUCAAGGAACACUGUGCCUAGCCCGGGGACGCGGCUGGCUUGCUGGCCGCACCCCGUGCUGCAAUGCUAUUUAAUCCACACGACUCUCGGCAACGGAUAUCUCGGCUCUCGCAUCGAUGAAGAACGUAGCGAAAUGCGAUACCUGGUGUGAAUUGCAGAAUCCCGCGAACCAUCGAGUCUUUGAACGCAAGUUGCGCCCGAGGCCAUCCGGCCGAGGGCAUGCCUGCCUGGGCGUCACGCUAAACACGCUCCCACCCCCCUCAUCGGGGAGCGGGAUGCGGCAUGUGGCCUCCCGUCUCGCAAGGGGCGGUGGGCCGAAGAUAUGGCUGCCGGCGUAUCGUGCCGGACACAGCGCUAGGUGGGCGUUCUCGCUAAGCUUAUCGCAGUGUAUCCGGUGCGUAGCCGACACGAUGGCCUCUAAAGACCCUUUGAACGGUGCGCAUGACGCUCCGACCGCGACCC